rnacentral:rRNA from 1 species
UACGUAGGGGGCAAGCGUUGUCCGGAUUUAUUGGGCGUAAAGAGCGUGUAGGCGGCCAGGCAGGUCCGCUGUGAAAACUCGAGGCUCAACCUCGAGAGGUCGGUGGAAACCGUCUGGCUAGAGUCCGGAAGAGGAGAGUGGAAUUCCCGGUGUAGCGGUGAAAUGCGCAGAUAUCGGGAAGAACACCCGUGGCGAAGGCGGCUCUCUGGGCCUGGACUGACGCUGAGGAGCGAAAGCGUGGGGAGCGAACAGG